UCAAACAUUACGCUGGUUCAGCAAAUGACUAUAAAUGUUUAGUGUGUAAUUGCAUAUAUACACCCAAGGACUAUAAAUAUCAUAACUCAGUUUAAUUAUAUAUGAAGGGUGUAUUCAUAACAACAUUUUUCAGUUAAAAAGUCGAAAGAAAAAACACAUUUUCUGCAUAUACACAACUUGUUAUUUACAUAUCCAUAUACACCUUUUAUGCAAGAAAAAAAUACACAAAUCACACUCUUUAAACUCAGAAAACUUAAAAAAAACCCUGUCAAAAAAGAAACUCAGAAAACUCAAACAACAUAAAACACAAGAAUCUUAAAUGAAAUUACAUAUCUGCAAAGAACAAAUAGAAGAUAGGCAACACCAAUCAUCCCUAUCACCACCAACAACAACAAAACUCUUCACCUUCAAAUUUCCAUUCUCAGCAACAACUUGUGGUCCAUUUUGAUGGAAGGUCAGCUUCUGAAAUUCUCAUUCUCAUUUUUUAAACUCUUUAUCUUCUUUUUCAUCCAAUUCUUCAUCUUCAUCUACUUCUAAAACUACUCUUCAUCUUAUUGAGGCUUCUCCCGCAAUCGCCACCAGAUAUGAACCUCAAGUACUUGAAUACACUGUCGAACCAACAAUAAUCUCCAGAUUCAACAUUUCUCUAAAAAAUCAUUAAAAACUCAAAUCUCUAAAAAAAGAUAUAUGAACUCCAAAAUAGAGAUUCAUUUCACUAAAAGAAAAACAUAUAUGAAAUUUUUGUAGUUACCUAUGAAUUGUGGUGUUUUAGUGAUGGUGACUUAGUAAGAAUAAAGAAGGAACAUAUUUUCUGGGUUAAUGAUGUUUUGUGGUGUUAAGAGAAAAAUAUAUUUCAGGGUGAUAACUUUUUGUUGGUGGUGGUGAACAAAAAUGCCAAAAAAAAAUUGAAAAAUAAAAAAUGAAUGAAAUUAUGUUGUUUUAAUGCUUUUAAUUAUUAGGUAACUUAAAGAUUGUAUUGUUAAAAUAAGUUUAUAAAUAAUUGCAAAAACAAAAACAAUAUGUCAUGUCAAUAUUUUCA
rnacentral:lncRNA from 1 species